CAUGGACACCCUUCUCAUGUAUCCUGUUUCCUGAAAGGGAAGGGGGAAGAAGGACUCUAGUUGAUUUUCAGUUGAAGCCCAGAUGGAUGAAGAACUUUGCAUCCCUGUCAGUGAAAUACAUUCUCAGAGCAUUGAAUAGAGCUGCUGGAGUUUUGUUUGGCUCAUCUGAUCCUGAAGAUUCUAAACGCACUUGGCACCCUCUCGGGGUGUUCCCUAAGACCAAGAAAAUUGCCUGCUCUCAAUUCUCUGAAAAUGAAGGCUCUUCCCUAAUGAGCUGAGAAAUACCUUCAUUAGUGCUUCUCGAUCUGCCUCUGCUUGGCUCGGAAUUCAGCGGUGUAAUUCCACGGAUGCUCUUUCUCAUCGUCUGAAUACAGGCACGCCGGAAUCCGAUUCUCAUUUCUCCACAGAUGUUCUGAUGGCAGAGUGAAUGUGAACAGUAACAAACAGCACCGCUGAUGUAAUAAGCAGACCUGAGGAAGAGAGUAUCCCAAGGGGGGCAUAGUACCUGACUCUAAGUAUAGCAUGUGUGACCUCAACUAAACCAGUACAGCAUUGGUAUGGGAUCAUACAUAGGCACUAGGAUGGAGAACCCAGGAAGAAAACCCACAUGGCGGCACCUCUUGGAUUCUUAGCAAAGGUGCCAUGAACCUAUGUUGGAAUUUAGGGAGUCUCUGUAGCAGGCGGUGUGGAAGGCUGGAGAAAAGUGUUGAAUAUCUUCAUUUGUCAGGAAAACACAAAUAAAAAAACCUUUAAUAUUAAUAGCAUUGAUAUUUAAUGGUCCCUUGAGUCAAAAUGGGGGCUAUCAUGAAAAACAAACAAACAAAUAAAAAAUAAAAACCAGUAACAACAAGUACUGGUGAGGAUUUGGACUGGAAAGAACUCCUGUGUCAGUAAGAAUGUAUACUAGCACAGGCUCGAAAAGCAGAACUGGGAGAAGUAGAAGUUAGAAGCCAUAUGACUCAGCUACCACCCAUAUAUUCACACUGUAAGUCAGAGGACUAGACAUUCUACCCCAUUCGUCGUCGUCGUCAUGGUGGGUGGAUUCACAAGUC
rnacentral:lncRNA from 1 species